rnacentral:misc_RNA from 1 species
GGAUGUGACGAGGAAUGGCGAUAACGGCGCGCGGCACUCGGUCAGUCUCUGAGGUCUUCUGGCAAAUGUUCAUUGGAUGUCGGUUACGAUGUGGACUACAAUUCAAAAGUCAGUUUGUCUUUUUGCUUUGAAUUUAGCAGUGCCAGUACUUCGAUACUAGACUCUCAAAAAGAUAAACAUUAAGAUGGCCAGGGCCAUGGCGACAGCGUUAUGGCGGAAGGGGCCGCGGGCGGGGCGGCCGCUUCACUGGGUCGCCGUGUUCCUGUCCUUGACCCUUGCCCUAGUCCUGCUGACCCUCCUGUCCGCGCAGGGUCGGGCGUGCUCGCCGAACCGACUGCUGGACGCAGACUUGCGGCAGGUUGAACACUACUUCACCCCGAAGCCGCAAGACACCGCGACGCUUCACCUUUCUGCCGCGACCCACUUCGCGACGCUCCCUCGCCCCAGCUGUGUGACCCCGCGCCUGACCUUCUCAUUCUCGUGCCCACCCCGCCACAUGACGGACACGUGCGUGACGUCAUUCGUCAGACCUGGGGAUCCGCCGUUGGUGGUGCCUGGCCGCACGCGGAGGCGACGGCGACGCGGCAGCGGAAAGUGGCGCUGGUGUUCCUGGUCGGGAUGGAAACCGAGAUGACGCAGGGGGAGGUAAGCGCGACUAGCGUGCGGCAGGAGGCGGAGCGGCACGGCGACGUGCUGGUGGUGGACGUCAGCGACACCUACCGGAACCUGGUGCACAAGAUUCUGCAUGGUCUGCGGUGGGCCGCGCGGCAUUGCGCCGCCGCU